rnacentral:rRNA from 1 species
UAGGGAAUAUUGCACAAUGGGCGAAAGCCUGAUGCAGCAACGCCGCGUGCGCGAUGACGGCCUUCGGGUUGUAAAGCGCUUUUCGGGGAGAUGAGGAAGGACAGUAUCCCCGGAAUAAGGCUCGGCUAACUACGUGCCAGCAGCCGCGGUAACACGUAGGAGCCAAGCGUUAUCCGAAUUCACUGGGCGUAAAGCGCGUGUAGGCGGCUUGGUAAGUUGGAUGUGAAAGCUCCUGGCUCAACUGGGAGUGGUCGUUGAAUACUUUCGGGCUAGAGGAUGGGAGAGGGAGGCGGAAUUCCGGGUGUAGUGGUGAAAUGCGUAGAUAUCCGGAGGAACACCAGUGGCGAAAGCGGCCUCCUGGCCCAUUUCUGACACUCAGACGCGAAAGCUAGGGUAGCAAACGG